rnacentral:rRNA from 1 species
GAUGAACGCUGGCGGCGUGCCUAAUACAUGCAAGUCGAGCGAACGGACGAGAAGCUUGCUUCUCUGAUGUUAGCGGCGGACGGGUGAGUAACACGUGGAUAACCUACCUAUAAGACUGGGAUAACUUCGGGAAACCGGAGCUAAUACCGGAUAAUCUUUUGAACCGCAUGGUUCAAAAGUGAAAUACGGUCUUGCUGUCACUUAUAGAUGGAUCCGCGCUGCAUUAUCUAGUUGGUAAGGUAACGGCUUACCACGGCAACGAUGCAUAGACGACCUAAGAGGGUGAUAGGCCACACGGGAGCGGAGACACGGUCAAGAGGACUACGGGAGGCAGCAGUAGCGUAUGUGACGCAGUGGGCGAAAGCCUGACGGAGUAACGGCGCGCGAGAGAUGGAGGUCUUGCGAGCGGAAAACUCUGUUAUGAGGGAAGAACAUAUGUGUAAGUAACUGUGCACAGCUUGACGGUACCUAAUCAGAAAGCCACGGCUAACUACGUG